rnacentral:rRNA from 1 species
CCUACGGGUGGCAGCAGUGGGGAAUAUUGCACAAUGGGGGAAACCCUGAUGCAGCGACGCCGCGUGAGUGAAGAAGGAAUUCGUUAUGUAAAGCUCUAUCAGCAGGGGAGAAAAUGACGGUACCUGAGUAAGAAGCCCCGGCGAACUACGUGCCAGCAGCCGCGGCAAUACGUAGGGGGCAAGCGUUAUCCGGAUUUACUGGGUGUAAAGGGAGCGUAGACGGCAGUGCAAGUCUGGAGUGAAAGGCGGGGGCUCAACCCCCGGACUGCUCUGGAAACUGUACGGCUGGAGUGCAGGAGAGGUAAGUGGAAUUCCUAGUGUAGCGGUGAAAUGCGUAGAUAUUGGGAGGAACACCAGUGGCGAAGGCGGCUUACUGGACUGUAACUGACGUUGAGGCUCGAAAGCGUGGGGAGCGAACAGGAUUAGAUACCCUGGUAGUC